UACGUAGGGGGCUAGCGUUGUCCGGAUUUAUUGGGCGUAAAGAGCGUGUAGGCGGCCAGGUAGGUCUGCUGUGAAAACUCGAGGCUCAACCUCGAGACGUCGGCGGAAACCAUCUGGCUAGAGUCCGGAAGAGGAGAGUGGAAUUCCGUGGUGUAGCGGUGAAAUGCGCAGAUAUCCGGAGGAACACCGGUGGCGAAGGCGGCUUCCUGGACCGACACUGACGCUGAGGCGCGAAAGCUAGGGGAGCAAACGGG
rnacentral:rRNA from 1 species